rnacentral:rRNA from 1 species
GAUGAAUGCUGGCGGCGUGCUUAACACAUGCAAGUCGAGCGGAAAGGCCCUUCGGGGUACUCGAGCGGCGGACGGCUGAGUAACGCGUGGGAACAUGCCCCAAAGUGAGGAAUAACUGCCCGAAAGGGUGGCUAAUGCCGCAUAUGAUCUUCGGAUUAAAGGAUUUAUCCGCUUUGGGAGUGGCCUGCGUAUGAUUAGGUAGUUGGUGAGGUAAUGGCUCACCAAGCCGACGAUCAUUAGCUGGUCUGAGAGGAUGACCAGCCAGACUGGAACUGAGACACGGUCCAGACUCCUACGGGAGGCAGCAGUGAGGAAUAUUCCACAAUGGGCGAAAGCCUGAUGGAGCAACGCCGCGUGAAGGAUGAAGGCCCUCGGGUUGUAAACUUCUUUUAUAAGUGAAGAAUAUGACGGUAACUUAUGAAUAAGCACCGGCUAACUACGUGCCAGCCGCCGCGGUAAGA